rnacentral:rRNA from 1 species
GACAGAGGGUGCAAACGUUGUUCGGAAUUACUGGGCGUAAAGCGAGUGUAGGCGGUUUGGUAAGUCGGAUGUGAAAGCCCCGGGCUCAACCCGGGAAGUGCACUCGAUACUGUCAAGCUAGAGUAUCGGAGAGGUUGGUGGAAUUCUCGGUGUAGAGGUGAAAUUCGUAGAUAUCGAGAGGAACACCGGUGGCGAAGGCGGCCAACUGGACGAAUACUGACGCUGAGACUCGAAAGCGUGGGGAGCGAACGGG